AUUGAACGCUGGCGGCAGGCCUAACACAUGCAAGUCGAGCGGAUGAAGGGAGCUUGCUCCUGGAUUCAGCGGCGGACGGGUGAGUAAUGCCUAGGAAUCUGCCUGGUAGUGGGGGAUAACGUCCGGAAACGGGCGCUAAUACCGCAUACGUCCUGAGGGAGAAAGUGGGGAUCUUCGGACCUCACGCUAUCAGAUGAGCCUAGGUCGGAUUAGCUAGUUGGUGGGGUAAAGGCCUACCAAGGCGACGAUCCGUAACUGGUCUGAGAGGAUGAUCAGUCACACUGGAACUGAGACACGGUCCAGACUCCUACGGGAGGCAGCAGUGGGGAAUAUUGGACAAUGGGCGAAAGCCUGAUCCAGCCAUGCCGCGUGUGUGAAGAAGGUCUUCGGAUUGUAAAGCACUUUAAGUUGGGAGGAAGGGCAGUAAGUUAAUACCUUGCUGUUUUGACGUUACCAACAGAAUAAGCACCGGCUAACUUCAUG
rnacentral:rRNA from 1 species